UACGUAGGGCGCAAGCGUGUCCGGAAUUAUUGGGCGUAAAGAGCUCGUAGGCGGUUCGUCGCGUCGGCUGUGAAAACCCGGAGCUCAACUCCGGGCCUGCAGUCGAUACGGGCGGACUUGAGUGUUGCAGGGGAGACUGGAAUUCCUGGUGUAGCGGUGAAAUGCGCAGAUAUCAGGAGGAACACCGGUGGCGAAGGCGGAUCUCUGGGCCGUAACUGACGCUGAGGAGCGAAAGCAUGGGUAGCGAACAGG
rnacentral:rRNA from 1 species